rnacentral:lncRNA from 1 species
GCAGAUUUAAAUGACUCAGCAGUAGGACUCAGGUCUCUGUCUCUGCCUGCUUACUUAGGGAGUGCUCCAGCCUUUGGGGCUGUCUUGCACUGCAGCAUAGGAAGGAAAUCAUCGACGGCUCCAUUCCCUGGCGUUUGAGACUUUUCUUCCCACAGACACAUUCCUGAGGACACCAGUCAUGCGUAAAGAACUCCACUGGGGUCAGAGUUGGAUCCCACUAGGCAGUUUAGGACUUGUAAGCAGAGUAGCACAGACUUGGUGUUCCCAGAGCCUCUCACUCAUGAUUCAUGGCUCUCCACCCCAAGCAUCGGACUUGCUCAACUUCACCACAGAAGAAAACAGACUGUAAGCUUAGAGGGCCAGGGAGGAAACUGGAGGCACGUGUGGGAGGAAAAGAUACUGAUGCAUUUGCUCUAGGGGAAGCCUGCAGCUAUGUCAUGAGGACCCUCAGCAGCCCUAUGCAGAGGAGGCUGUUGCAUGAAAGAUGCCUUCUGCCAACAAUCAGCCCCGAUUUGCCAGGCACGUGAACUAGCUAAACUGAAAGCAAAUCUCCAGCCCCAAUGAAGUCUUUCAGAUGACAGCAACCUCAGCCAAUAUACUGACUAUAACCUCAUAAGAGACUCUGAACCAGAACCAUCUAACUAAGCCACUCUCAAAUUCUACCCAACAGAAACUGAGAAAUAAUAAAUGUUUAUUGUUAUUUUGGGCCACUAAAUUUGGGAGUAAUUUGUUAUGCAACAAUUAUAUAACCAAUAUUCCAACUAAAGCUGAAAUGCCUCCUGCAUUUCCUCCCUCAGUGGCCUACAGUACAGUCCAAGUUCAGCCAAAAAUAAUGAGAACCUUGUUUAAGUUAGUGUCAAGAAAUGAGUGGAUUAAAUAGACAUUUAAAAAUAUGGCCAGGCACAGUGUCUCAU